UGCCAGCCGCCGCGGUAACACGUAUGGGGCGAGCGUUGUUCGGAAUCAUUGGGCGUAAAGGGCGCGUAGGCGGAUAUGCAAGCUUGGUGUGAAAUCCCGCAGCUCAACUGCGGAUCCGCGCUGAGAACUGUGUAUCUAGAGUUCAAGAGGGGAAGCUGGAAUUCCUGGUGUAGGGGUGAAAUCUGUAGAGAUCAGGAAGAACAUCAGUGGCGAAGGCGAGCUUCUGGCUAUGAACUGACGCUGAGGCGCGAAAGCGUGGGGAGCGAACAGGAUUAGAUA
rnacentral:rRNA from 1 species